rnacentral:rRNA from 1 species
UACAGAGGUCUCAAGCGUUGUUCGGAUUCCUUGGGCGUACAGGGUGCGUAGGCGGCGCGGUAAGUCGGGUGUGAAAUCUCGGAGCUUAACUCCGAAACUGCAUUCGAUACUGCCGUGCUUGAGGACUGGAGAGGAGACUGGAAUUUACGGUGUAGCGGUGAAAUGCGUAGAUAUCGUAAGGAAGACCAGUGGCGAAGGCGGGUCUCUGGACAGUUCCUGACGCUGAGGCACGAAGGUCAGGGGAGCAAACAGG